rnacentral:rRNA from 1 species
CAAUAGCGUAUAUUAAAGUUGUUGCAGUUAAAAAGCUCGUAGUUGGAUUUUGAGUUUCGUAAGCUCGGUCUACUAUUUAGUAGUACUGACUUGCUGGCUCUUCUUCUCGAGGCCUAUGGGUGCACUUAACCGUGUGUUCAUAGUGUUCGGGACUUUUACCGUGAGAAAAUUAGAGUGUUCAUAGCAGGCUUUUGCUUGAAUAUUGCAGCAUGGAAUAAUGGAAAAGGACUGUUUCCCAGUGGUCAAUGGCGAAACGGUAAUGAUUAAAAGGGACAGGCGGCGGCAUUCGUAUUGCCACGUUAGAGGUGAAAUUCUUGGAUCGUGGAAAGACGAACGACUGCGAAAGCAUUUGCCGAGGAUGUUUUCAUUAA